rnacentral:rRNA from 1 species
CAGUAGCCGCGGGAAUACGAAGGGGGCUAGCGUUGUUCGGAAUUACUGGGCGUAAAGCGCACGUAGGCGGACAUUUAAGUCAGGGGUGAAAUCCCGGGGCUCAACCCCGGAACUGCCUUUGAUACUGGGUGUCUAGAGUAUGGAAGAGGUGAGUGGAAUUCCGAGUGUAGAGGUGAAAUUCGUAGAUAUUCGGAGGAACACCAGUGGCGAAGGCGGCUCACUGGUCCAUUACUGACGCUGAGGUGCGAAAGCGUGGGGAGCAAACAGGAUUAGAGACCCGCGUAGUCCCUGUCUCUUAUAC